GAUGAAGAACGCAGCGAAAUGCGAUAAGUAAUGUGAAUUGCAGAAUUCAGUGAAUCAUCGAAUCUUUGAACGCACCUUGCGCUCCUUCGUAUUCCAAGGAGCAUGCCUGUUUGAGUAUCAUUAAAUUAUCAACUGUGCCAAUUUGGUUACAGAUUGGAUGUGGGAGAUUCUUUUUGCAGGCCUUUGACUUCUCUUUGAGAAAAAAAAUAAAAGGUCGGCUCUCCUGAAAUGUAUUAGCAGUGCCUUUGUUGGUUCAUUAGGUGUGAUAAAUUGUCUACAUCUUCGCAUGAUACCUUCAUUUGUAAAGGUCAUAUUGCUUCUAAAUUGUCUUUGAUUGGACGCAAAACAUAUAUAAUGUUUGACAAACUUGAUCUCAAAUCAGGCAGGACUACCCGCUGAACUUAAGCAUAUCAAUAAGCGGAGGA
rnacentral:misc_RNA from 1 species